GAUGAACGCUGGCGGCGUGCCUAAUAUAUGCAAGUCGAGCGAACGGACGAGAAGCUUGCUUCUCUGAUGUUAGCGGCGGACGGGUGAGUAACACGUGGAUAACCUACCUAUAAGACUGGGAUAACUUCGGGAAACCGGAGCUAAUACCGGAUAAUAUUUUGAACCGCAUGGUUCAAAAGUGAAAGACGGUCUUGCUGUCACUUAUAGAUGGAUCCGCGCUGCAUUAGCUAGUUGGUAAGGUAACGGCUUACCAAGGCAACGAUGCAUAGCCGACCUGAGAGGGUGAUCGGCCACACUGGAACUGAGACACGGUCCAGACUCCUACGGGAGGCAGCAGUAGGGAAUCUUCCGCAAUGGGCGAAAGCCUGACGGAGCAACGCCGCGUGAGUGAUGAAGGUCUUCGGAUCGUAAAACUCUGUUAUUAGGGAAGAACAUAUGUGUAAGUAACUGUGCACAUCUUGACGGUACCUAACCAGAAAGCCACGGCUAACUACGUG
rnacentral:rRNA from 1 species